rnacentral:rRNA from 1 species
UACGUAGGGUCCGAGCGUUGUCCGGAUUUAUUGGGCGUAAAGAGCGUGUAGGCGGCCAGGUAGGUCUGCUGUGAAAACUCGAGGCUCAACCUCGAGACGUCGGCGGAAACCAUCUGGCUAGAGUCCGGAAGAGGAGAGUGGAAUUCCUGGUGUAGCGGUGAAAUGCGCAGAUAUCAGGAAGAACACCCGUGGCGAAGGCGGCUCUCUGGGACGGUACUGACGCUGAGACGCGAAAGCGUGGGGAGCAAACAGG